GCCUGGGUGGCUCAGUCAGUUGAGUGUCUGAUUUCGGCUCAGGUCAUGAUCUUGCAGUUUGUGAGUUCAAGCCCCAUGUCAGGCU
rnacentral:tRNA from 1 species